rnacentral:rRNA from 1 species
GAUGAGUUCUCCCUGACUCCCUGAGAGUCCUGAAGGAACGUUGAAGACGACGACGUUGAUAGGCCGGGUGUGUAAGCGCAGCGAUGCGUUGAGCUAACCGGUACUAAUGAACCGUGAGGCUUAACCUU